AGCUAUAUAUCAAGUACAAACAGCAACUUCAUCACCGCAACUUCCUACAGGAUCAAAAAAGACCUCUAAAACAGAAGAAUUGACAAAUAAUUUUACCUUGGCAUUGAAUAAAACAGAUAUUCAACAAGGUAGCUCUUUGCAGAACGUCGUCGAUUUGUUGCGAGAUACUCUGGCCAAGUACAAAGAUAUAUCCUUUACAGAAGUUAAAAAAAAUGUUAUAACCGAGCGGAAACGGAUAGAGUUGAUACACAGAACGGUAGAUGCCUUUCAGACCUUUGCUCUGAAGUAUGGCUGGUACCACCUCAACGAAUCAAGGCCAGUGUUAAGGGAGAAAUAUGACAGAAUACGUGGUAUUUUUAAACCACAUCAUUCGUCCUUUAUAACAGUUCGUAUUCGGAAGAGUCUACCACGGGAUUUUGACGACUUUCACCUCGGUGAAUCAUUUAGUGAAACUAUCAAAAUCUCAUCCAAU